UGUGGCCAGAAGCUAACCCGGCCCCUGGCUUCGUUUGGAGGGCAGAUAACUGAAACCACAUAAGGCUUUGGAAUCCUGAGAAACAAGAAAUCCACCAACGGAGAAGGAUUUAUCAUCUGUUUCCUUUAAGGAGGGUGCAAAGUUGUUCUAACAGUUUCCGUUACAAGGGUACAAACUGGCCGCUCCCCCCAGUAGACAGUUUUGUUGAGUUCGCCUCUUUUUUUUCUUCUUUUUUUGGCCCCACUUCCUAUGAGAGAAACUGCUUGGGUGAGGGAGGUGAAAGGGGCCCUGGAGGGUGUUCUCUGAGGUGUUCCUCACCAUCCUCAUUAGCCACCUGAGGUGGGGCUGAGGACUGAAGUAGGACAGAAGGUCUCUGGUAGCUAGAGGUGGGGAAAAUCAGGGGGAUCCCCCACUUUCUUCACACCCAAGACGCAGGGUGCCGCUGCCGGCCACAGAAACCCCAAGAAUGCUUUUCUUUGGCUAUUCAGAGGACAUCUAUUGUGUGUCAGGCCCUGUGCUGAGCUGUUGUUGCCUGACAGCAGGAAGAGCGCGGCUCUGGCUUCUGUGAAGAGGCUGCGAGUCAGCCCCCGACUACAAGAGCCUCGGCCCACGCCGGGAACUCAGUGAACGUCAGCGGGAACUGGGGCAAGAGCACUGACUCUGAGACAGCAGCCUCGGCUCACUAUUUGAAGGCGGGGUGGCGGGGGGCCUUGAAGGACAGCGAAGUACGAGAGAACUCUUCAGGUGUCUCCACGGUGGGAAGGUGCUACGAGGCGAGGCGCCGAGCAGCGGCCCCCACCCCGCUCGCCCGGAGUCAACAUGGCCGCCGCGAAAGGAGGCGGGGCUGCUCCAAGUCCGGGCAGGAGCGGGGCGGGGACGCCGUCGGCGGAGCCAGCGCGCAGGCGCGGGCCGCGUGGGCCCCGGAUGGAGGAGCUGAGGUUCGGUCCCCGCCGGGGAGGUCGGGACGGGCAGGGGCUGAGGACCCGGCGUCAGCUUGGGAGCCCUGGAGUUCUGGCGGGAGGGAAGCUGUCAAAUGGAGGCCGGUAGAAAUGAGACAGAGGCCCGGAGAAGCGGGGAGCCCCGCCCCUCCGCCAUAACAGCCUCGGGCACCGCCUCUUCCUUUCCAGCCUCCUGCCCUCGCCUGCUUCCGGCCCUGGGGCCUGGUGGAGUUCCGUAGGCUCCCUCGGGAGUGGUCCUUGGGCUGUGGCCCCUCUGGGGUGAGCGUAGAUGAUUAGUACCCAGAAGGGACUGUGUCCCAAAGGAGCCGGCCAGAAACGGGCUGCGGACACGGCUGGGCUCACCGAAGGCAGCCCCUAUCUGGGGAUGGCCCACGAGGCCUUUGGCUCUGAGGACCCUGGGUCAGAGCGACUUCUCCAGCCCGCGCAGGGGGUGUUGGUCUUACUCAGAGGGUCCAGAGCUGCAGUUCAACAGGAUGUCCGAGAUUCUCAGAUAGGGCCCAACUACCCUAAGCAUAGCCAGCAAGGGCAGGCUGUGGCAUGGAAGUACUGGGCUAGGCGUUUGGGUGACCUGAGUCAUAAUCCUGGCUCGGAAUGGGCGCAUACCCUUUGGCGAGGGAUGCGGGCUGGUACCGUGAGGUUUAAGAAGCAAAAAACAUGACAGCCUCUUUAAGUAGCCCUGGGUACGUCACUUGACCCCAGUGAGCCUCAGUUUCCAUACCCAUAAAAUGGCGAUGGUAAUUAUACUGGCCUCACAGUAUCUGAUGAGAUCUCUGGAGCCUAUUUAUCUCACGGGAAAAUUUUUGAAGAGUGAAACUAGUUGAUCUGCCUGAGGGAGCUCAAUCCUGGUAGCAACACCCCUGAAUUCCUGGUGGUAAGAGGAUGUGGCCCCAGGACCCAUCCCGGAAGGAGGUGCUGAGGUUUGCAGUCAGCUGCCGUAUCCUGACUCUGAUGCUGCAGGCCCUCUUCAAUGCCAUCAUCCCAGAUCACCAGGCAGAAGCCUUCUCUCCUCCUCGCCUGGCCCCCUCAGGCUUUGUGGACCAACUCGUGGAAGGUCUUCUGGGCGGCCUGUCUCGCUGGGAUGCUGAACACUUCUUGUUCAUUGCUGAGCAUGGCUACCUGUAUGAGCACAACUUUGCCUUCUUUCCUGGUUUCCCCUUGGCCCUGCUGAUGGGGACUGAACUGUUGAGACCCUUACGGGGGUUACUGAGUCUACGCAGUUGCCUGCUGAUUUCGGUAGCAUCACUCAAUUUCUUGUUCUUCAUGUUGGCUGCAGUUGCACUUCAUGACCUGGGUUGUCUGGUUUUGCACUGUCCCCGCCAGUCCUUUUAUGCAGCUCUGCUUUUCUGUCUCAGCCCUGCCAAUGUCUUCCUGGCAGCUGGUUACUCAGAAGCUUUGUUUGCCCUCCUGACAUUCAGUGCCAUGGGGCAGCUGGAGAGGGGCCGAGUCUGGACGAGUGGACUCCUCUUUGCCAUUGCCACUGGGGUACGCUCCAACGGGCUGGUCAGUGUUGGCUUCCUCAUGCAUUCUCAAUGCCAAGGCUUUUUCUCUUCUCUUACGAUGCUGAAUCCUCUGAGACAGCUCUUUAAGCUGAUGGCCUCUCUGUUUCUGUCGGUGUUCACACUUGGCCUUCCCUUUGCACUCUUUCAGUAUUAUGCCUACACCCAAUUCUGUCUGCCAGGCUCAGCCCGCCCCAUUCCUGAGCCUUUGGUACAGUUAGCUAUAGACAAGGGCUACCGGAUUGCAGAGGGAAAUGAACCGCCUUGGUGCUUCUGGGAUGUUCCACUAAUAUACAGCUAUAUCCAGGAUGUCUACUGGAAUGUUGGCUUUUUGAAAUACUAUGAGCUCAAGCAGGUGCCCAAUUUUCUACUGGCUGCACCAGUGGCUAUACUGGUUGCCUGGGCAACUUGGACAUACAUGACCACCCACCCUUGGCUCUGCCUUACACUUGGGCUGCAAAGGAGCAAGAACAAUAAGACCCUAGAGAAGCCCGAUCUUGGAUUCUGCAGUCCUCAGGUAUUUGUGUACGUGGUCCACGCUGCAGUGCUGCUGCUGUUUGGAGGUCUGUGCAUGCAUGUUCAGGUGAGGUGAAUUCCUGACUGGGAUAAGGAUGUGAAUACAGGCAAAACCCCUUGGCUAAGGACAGGGAAGGCAGCUAACAUCUCCCAUUUGAAUGAUCCAUACUGAAUUUAUUCAUUCAAUGACUAUUUAGGGUUAUUCUUUGUGCCAGACUCUGGGUCAGACCUCUAAGGAUGAAACAUGAAUAAGACAAAAUUACAGCCAGGCACGGUGGCUCACACCCAUAAUCUCAGCAAUUUGGGAGGCCGAGUAGAGAUGGGGUUUCACCGUGUUAGCCAGGAUGGUCUCGAUCUCCUGACCUCGUGAUCCACCCGCCUCGGCCUCCCAAAGUGCUGGGAUUACAGGCUUGAGCCACCGCGCCCGGCCUUGCAGAUAAAGUAUUAUGGAGGCAAAGAAGAAGUAGGUAACUCACUGGAGUACUUGAGAAAGGCAUCAUAUUUCAGCUGGGUCCUGCAGAAUGAGAUUUUCCAUGUAAGAAGCAGAGGAGAAACAUUCUAGGUAAAAGGAAGGGCAUAUGCAAAAACACGAGGGUUGUGAAAGGACCUAAUUGGACUGAGAUACAGUAAUAAGCAUGCAGGAUAUCUCUGGGAUCUUUUUCCCUAAUACACAGUUAUAUCCAUAUUGGUUCUUGACUGUUGACUUCUGGAGGUUCUCAACUCAGGCAGGCCCCCAACUUCCAGAGGAGAUACCUUAACCAAUGUUUUGGGUGGUGGCGGUGGUGAUAGAGAGGGAUGGGAAGGGUUUGAUCUUAUAUCUGAUUUUCUGUUCUUGGCUGUGGCCCCACCCUGGGGACGUCUUUUUUCCUCAUACUGACCUCUUAGCAGUUUCUUCCUGUUGGAGUCGCACACUGGCUGUUUCUAAAAUUCUCCAAGCUGUAUGGAUGAGAGACACAGAGGAAAUAGAAAGUAGCAUUCUGUGUUUUUAGCUAGAUUAAAUCGUAGAAUGAGUGCCAGCAAAGCUUAAAGUUUCCAGGUUAGCUGAGGGAGGCCAUUUGGAAACUUGUUUCUGAACUCCAGUAGGAGAGAGAAUGUUCAAGCAAUGGGUCUUCUGCCCAUUUCCCUCUGUUUUGCCAUCCCAUGGGAUAAGGGAACCACCUCAGGUUCCCAAUCCCCAAAUCAAUAUCACAGAGUUUAGAGUCCAGGCCCUGGGCUAAAAUUAGACCCCAUAGAGUUUCUAGUAUUAAUUGGCCCAUUAUUUUAAUAGUAAUUAAUGUAAUUAGUCUGUAGCUAUGUUUAUUUGUAACAUGGAGGAUGCCUGUCUGCUGUACAUACAUCUUUCUAAGACAGAUCCUAAGCUGUGUUCAAUUUCUUUUCCAGUGUAAUACAUUUCUAGUCACGGGACCGUAGUUCACCCAGCAGUAGAGAAGUCCCCAAGCUGGUCCAGUUUGAGUCAGUGACAUUCCAGUAAAUGUCUGGAUAUUCCCCUCUCAUGAUUUCUAGGUUCUCACCAGGUUUUUGGGCUCCUCCACUCCUAUUAUGUACUGGUUUCCAGCUCACUUGCUUCAGGAUCAAGAGCCGCUGUUGAGAUCCUUAAAGACUGUGCCUUGGAAGCCUCUUGCAGAGGACUCCCCACCAGGACAAAAGGUCCCCAGAAAUCCUAUCAUGGGACUUUUGUAUCACUGGAAAACCUGUUCUCCAGUCACACGAUACAUUCUAGGCUACUUCCUGACUUACUGGCUCCUGGGACUACUCCUACAUUGCAACUUCCUGCCUUGGACAUGACCUGGACUCUCCAGGGACAGGCUGGAAGCCAACUUAACCCAGGGGUCUGAAAGUAAAAAUACACAUUGGAACUGCCUCUGCUGCCCUGGGAUCAUUACUGUGUCCAUUAUAAUCUUUCUCUUUCUCUUUGAAAGCUGGUCAGCAAUGGGAGAAGUAUCAGCCACUAGAGAGCCCCUUCUGGUCCUGGCUAGGGCAAAUUUUAGAUAACUAUUUUCUCUGUAAGUGAAGAUUGUCUUAUUCCAAGUCUAAAAUACACCUGGAUCUGUCUAGUCAAUCAACAUAGCAGAGACAGUCUUAAACCCACCAUUCACCUGUGUGUAAAUUUAAAUGUCAAUUUAUUGAAGUGUAAAUUUCAUCAAAGGCAUUAGCUGACAGGCUGGUAACAGUCCACACAAGAUGAUACAGGCCUGAACAGUGUAGUGGCAGUAGUAAAGUGGGACCAUUUUUUCCAAAUGGGACAUUGUUUCUGAUGUUUUUUUUUAUGAUUUGUGCAUGUAUUUUUAUUUAUAUGAAAAAAUCUUACAAAGAUAUGCAAAUUAAACUUCUUUCAGUUAUACAUGCAA